rnacentral:rRNA from 1 species
UACGAAGGGGGCUAGCGUUGUUCGGAAUCACUGGGCGUAAAGCGCACGUAGGCGGAUCUUUAAGUCAGGGGUGAAAUCCCGGGGCUCAACCUCGGAACUGCCUUUGAUACUGCAAGUCUCGAGUCCGAUAGAGGUGAGUGGAAUUCCUAGUGUAGAGGUGAAAUUCGUAGAUAUUAGGAAGAACACCAGUGGCGAAGGCGGCUCACUGGAUCGGUACUGACGCUGAGGUGCGAAAGCGUGGGGAGCAAACAGG